CGGGUGCACUGAUCCGGCCGGGCCUUUCCCUCUGUGGAACCCCAUGGCCUUCACUGGCUGUGCGGGGGAAACAGGACUUUUACUGUGAAAAAAUUAGAGUGCUCCAGGCAGGCCUAUGCUCGAAUACAUUAGCAUGGAAUAAUAGAAUAGGACGCGUGGUUCUAUUUUGUUGGUUUCUAGGACCGCCGUAAUGAUUAAUAGGGACAGUCGGGGGCAUCAGUAUUCAAUUGUCAGAGGUGAAAUUCUUGGAUCUAUUGAAGACUAACUACUGCGAAAGCAUUUGCCAGGGAUGUUUUCAUUGAUAAGGAACGAAAGUUAGGGGAUCGAAGACGAUCAGAUACCGUCGUAGUCUUAACUAUAAACUAUGCCGACUAGGGAUCGGACGAUGUUAUUUCUUGACGCGUUCGGCACCUUUCGAGAAAUCAAAGUGCUUGGGCUCCAGGGGGAGUAUGGUCGCAAGGCUGAAACUUAAAGAAAUUGACGGAAGGGCACCACCAGGAGUGGAGCCUGCGGCUUAAUUUGACUCAGCACAGGGAAACUCACCAGGUCCAGACAUACGGAGGAUUGACAGAUUGAAAGCUCUUUCUAGAUUGUAUGGGUGGUGGUGCAUGGCCGUUCUUAGUUCGUGGAGUGAUUUGUCUGGUUAAUUCCGAUAACGAACGAGACCUUAUUCUGCUAAAUAGACAGACUCAUUUUUUAAUGGGGUUGAAGGCUUCGGUCUUUGCUGUCUU
rnacentral:rRNA from 1 species